rnacentral:rRNA from 1 species
AGUGAACGCUGGCGGUAGGCCUAACACAUGCAAGUCGAACGGCAGCACAGUAAGAGCUUGCUCUUACGGGUGGCGAGUGGCGGACGGGUGAGGAAUACAUCGGAAUCUACUUUUUCGUGGGGGAUAACGUAGGGAAACUUACGCUAAUACCGCAUACGACCUACGGGUGAAAGCAGGGGAUCUUCGGACCUUACGCGAUUGAAUGAGCCGAUGUCGGAUUAGCUAGUUGGCGGGGUAAAGGCCCACCAAGGCGACGAUCCGUAGCUGGUCUGAGAGGAUGAUCAGCCACACGGGAACUGAGACACGGCCCAGACUCCUACGGGAGGCAGCAGUGGGGAAUAUUGGACAAUGGGCGCAAGCCUGAUCCAGCCAUACCGCGUGGGUGAAGAAGGCCUUCGGGUUGUAAAGCCCUUUUGUUGGGAAAGAAAAGCAGCAGGUUAAUACCCCGCUGUUCUGACGGUACCCAAAGAAUAAGCACCGGCUAACUUCGU